UACGUAGGGUGCAAGCGUUGUCCGGAAUUAUUGGGCGUAAAGAGCUCGUAGGCGGUCUGUCGCGUCGGCUGUGAAAACUCGGGGCUCAACUCCGAGCUUGCAGUCGAUACGGGCAGGCUAGAGUUCGGCAGGGGAGACUGGAAUUCCUGGUGUAGCGGUGAAAUGCGUAGAUAUCGGAAGGAACACCUGUGGCGAAAGCGGCUCACUGGACCAUUACUGACGCUGAUGCACGAAAGCUAGGGGAGCAAACAGG
rnacentral:rRNA from 1 species